UACGGAGGAUCCGAGCGUUAUCCGGAUUUAUUGGGUUUAAAGGGUGCGUAGGCGGCCUUUUAAGUCAGCGGUGAAAGUCUGUGGCUCAACCAUAGAAUUGCCGUUGAAACUGGAAGACUUGAGUGUGUUUGAGGUAGGCGGAAUGCGUGGUGUAGCGGUGAAAUGCAUAGAUAUCGCGCAGAACUCCGAUUGCGAAGGCAGCAUGCCGGCUCCACACUGACGCUGAGGCACGAAAGCGUGGGUAUCGAACAGG
rnacentral:rRNA from 1 species